ensembl:lncRNA
GGUCUCGGACAGUGGCUACAAAAGGACAUGGCAGCAAGUGAAAGUCAAACACAAGAACAUUGUGCAAACAGGUGCAAACACUUUGUCUUAGUUUUGAUCUCACUGAGUCAGCAGUUGCUUUGUAAAAGAGGUUUUUCUUUGUGGUUUUCUGCAAAUCAUUAAGUCUAAAUGAAUGAGUUUAUGAUCUUUGAGCUUAUGAACUCUCCGCAUCAUUAAAAUGCUUUAUGCACAUACAUGCACCAGCAUGACGGAGCUGUAUAACAUUCAAUGUUUCUCUUCCUGCACUGGCUCAGAGUCAGUGAAGUCCAGGUGAGUUACGUACCUGUCAAAUCUGUCCCUGUGCAGCAAAAAGGAAAAGGGUUGCAAUGAUGAGAAACGAGGGCGGCUCGGCGACCCCGUCUCUGAACUCUGGUGAGGACGACGUGCUGCAUCACAAAGACAACGGGCUGAGGGUGGAGGUUCUCCCCGGAGGCGCCUGUAUUGACCCGGCAGCUGUGUCUGACAGCUCUUUCAUGAGCGUGUCGGGCCACCCUGUCCUCCUGCUGCCCGUAACAAAGACUGAACCAGAGAGCCUCAGCAGCGACGAGACGGACGUUAGUGACACUCAGUUUGAGGGGGACGUUCAUGGAAGCAGCUUGCAGGAGGGCGCCAACGCAGCUGCCGCUACAGUUAGUGGCAGAAGCAGAGAGGUGAGGUGCAUUUGUCACAGCUGUCCUGUGCUAAUGAGAAGAACCAAAUGCAACAAGAGCGCAUGUUUUGUGUAAUCUGAUUCACAGAAGCAGACAGAAGACCUCAGGUCUCUCUACUGCUCCUACCUCAAGAAGGAGAUUGAGAACCGGGACCAAGAGAUGGCUUACAGAGCACUUAAAAUGAGGAAGCUGGAGAAAGAAAUCUUAUUACUUGACAAGCAGCUGAUGUGAUUGCAAGGAAAAAACAAAAGUACUUUUAUGCUUUUAUGUGGAAAAACAAGAAUUUGUUGAAAUGACAUGUUGCCUUUUACCCCGACACACUCACAGAGGUGUGUUUAGGUUGUAGUUGGCUGCAGCUGUAGGCAGCAUGAUCUCUUACAUCCUGGUCAAGGUUGUAAUGAUACGUGUCAGUACCCUUUUUUUUGCAAUAUUGCAUCACACAACUUAUGCAACGGUGCUGAUGCUGCCGUACACCGAUUCUCAGACCACGAGAGUGUUUAAAGUGCACUGAUGGAAGGCAGCAUGGCUGCUUGAGGGUUCACAGUAGCAUGUAAGUGGAGCCUGUGAGAGCACCAUGUUCACUGUACUCUACCACAGCAGGUUCAAAUGAACGAAUGCAACAACAGAUGGCUUUAAUGUCAGAAGAGAUUUUCAGGACCUUUUAUAUGUAUUUGUGACAACUGGUCCAAAUCUUAUGCUUAAAAUUUUAAAUUGAAAUUCUCAAGCUCCUUGGAAAACGUCCUGAGGUCCAGGAAAGAUGUGACAGAGAGUUCUUGCUGAUCCACUUUUAUUAACCUUUCUCUGAAGUCACAUUAAUGGAUGCCGUUGCUAAGCAGAUGCAGCUAACGCAGUCGGUGUUCCACCAGAACCCUCGCUCUGUUUUGAUGAUUUUAUUCCGGCCAAUCGUGGUUAUUUAUAGAGCCGCUUCAUUAAACCACAAAGUGUCUAACACAAGGAGACAUCUUCAUGACAUGACAGAUUUGUAACAGCUCAUCAUUUUCUUGUGGUUGCCUAAACGAAGCUCACAGCGCGGGAGAUUAUGUGAUGAUGUCAUUUCUCAGUCAUGUUGGUUUUUUAAUACAGGAUGCUCCAGCCUAUCCUCUGCUAAAGGAUAGGAAGCAUCUGAGCAUCUUUAGUGUCCAAGGAAUUUCACCAGCUCUUAUUAUGGCUGCCAUGCAGAUACAGCUGAGUCACUUUGCUCAGUUGGAAACCUUCUAAAGCAAAGCUGACUCUUUGUUUUCAACCACCAGCACGCAGAAAAUUGGUGCUAACUGUUCUGUCACUGCUGGAGGCCUCCUAAUAAACAGGCCGCUGGGUCACGUGAUUUUCAAACGCAUAAACUUUGCAGUUUAUAAGAAUCGUUGUCUGCUCUCUCUAUGAACAGCUCUAACUCUCUGACAUUUAUCUCCAAAGAGUGAUGUAAAAAUCAUGAGGUUAAGAGUAGAAAAAACUGAACUGUUAAUCAUUAUGUUGAUUAAAUAUGAAUUUUGGUAAAAGUAUGACUGCUUAGUGUAACUAUUACUACUUCAUAUCAUCGCUGUUGAGUCCGGUGUGCCGGAGAAUGGGUUGUGAAGACUUUUCUACAGAGACAGGUGUGUCCUUGGACUCCCACAGUGCACUGCGCGAUUGUUUGUGGGUCCAGAGUUCGCCGUUAGGCGUGGACAUUGUCCAGCAGCUGCACGUCCUCAGGAGGCUUGGACACUAAAUCGAAAUGUCUGGGCUGGACUGAGAGUGAAAACAGCGCUUCCUGGCCAAAAAUAUUAAACUCGAGUCCAUCCUUGUGAACAGCUGCAUGCUUGAACGUCUCCCUCUCUCACCUGAUAAGCAGCUCAGUCCAGUUGCAUCGCGCUUUCCCGCAGUCAUGGGCUGGCGAGCGGUGCGCGUUCACGGCCCACGAAUUGAAGCCAUCCUUAAUUGAGAGCAGAGAAAUGGAUGUGCGAUGGUUAUGCGGAGGAAAAUGUGAAGUCAAAUCGGCAGGAAGGUGUAGAGCGUUUCAAAAAUUUCCCGAUCCAGUCCCAGUGGAAGCACGUGUGAUGCUGGGAGGGGCUCGUUACAAAUGCGUUGUUAUUGCGCAGUUUUUAAAUCCACGCUCGACCUUUAACACCGUGCGUGAGAGUGGAGCUGCUGGAGGUCACCGUUCCUGCCAAAAGCCUCUGGCACUCCCUUUCCCAGGAUGAAGAGCACGCGGGCAUUUCACGUUUCCAGGCUUAUGAUCGGUUGUUGUCGAAGUCUUAUGGAGCAAUACACAGAAACGGUCCAUGUAAUGUGCCACCGGUUUGAUUAAAAAAUAAAAUACAAUAAAAACAAAACAAAACAUUAGUUUGGUGUGGAUGUGAUUUCUUCCUCUUUUUUUUAAAGUUCUGCCUAAAGCAUCCGUUUCCACGUAAAUUAAAGAGUAAUUUAAACAGUUGUAAAUGACUUAUUGGGCUAUAAUCUGUCGAAAAUACCUUAAACAUAACUCUCAUGAAUGAUAUCAAGUCAUUCCGAGGCAGAAAGAACAUCCCUGUCACAAAGUAGAAGCUGCAAUCAAGUUUUGGUAAAGGGACUAUUUAGGGACAUUUUAAAAAAUGUCUCUUUGAAGAGAGAUCUGGCCAACAUGGAAACAAAUAUCACAUUUCUAUAAAGAUGUUUUGUGUUUUGUCAAAAAAGGACUGGACUGACUGUAAACAUGGAGUAGGAACAACCAGGCUUGCAACACUGAUCAUUUCUUGAUUUUAGCCCUUCAUAAAUCCUGUUGAUUACCAAUAAAAAAAAAUGGCUUAAAAUAGACAAAUUUGACUGUGGCAGUAUUCAUACAUUCAAGGAUGUUUGAGAAGCACGUUGUCUGAAAACGCCAUGAUAGUUUUACAAAACAAACAAACAAAAUAAGAAGAAGGUGAAACUUUCCACAAAAAUUUCACGUAAAAGCACCGACACUGGGAUCAUAAUCAAUGUGACAAUAAGAGGCAAUCCGCCAACCAGCAGUGAGUGAUCCUCACACACUCUCGUCUUCACGUUUCUACUAAUGUGAAGCGUAAUGGCGCACUAGUUUGUCCCUGUGCGCUCGCCGUCCUUUCACAUGAUUUCCACUGCGUGUGACUGCCCUGCAUUCCUCAAGUGGCGAUAUUUUCUCUGUGUGGAAGUGAUUAAACCUUACGGCGAGCGAAACGUAAACAUGGCGUGAAAACACGCUCCGUGGCCGUGUUUUGAGUGAUCUGCGGCAAACAGCGGACCGUCUGCGGUGUGAGAGGCGAUUACUAAGAUCAGAAUUCGCGGAUAAAACAUCAGUUCCACUUUUUGUGUUUUUGUAGUUGUGUGUGUGUGUCUGUCUGUCAGAGUGCAUCUUCAGCCUGCUCGAGCGGAUGGAUACAAGAUAGCCGAUGACUGAGGGGCUU